rnacentral:tRNA from 1 species
GGGGCGUUAGCUCAGUCGGUCAGAGCAGCGGACUCAUAAUCCGUCGGUCGUGGGUUCAAGCCCCACACGCCCCACCG